rnacentral:lncRNA from 1 species
AACAGCUGACAAGAUAGCCCAGUAUUGGCCACUGAAUUUAUACCCCUUGCUCAGAAAAAAAGAAGCACUAUGACUACUUGAAUAAUAAUAAAUAUCCAUAAUUACUACUUAUCUGCCAAUCAACUAUUGUCAGUUGUGUAUGUAUUUUAGGAAGAAGAAGACUGUUAUUCUAAAAGUAUAAAUUUGCUAACUUUUCUUGUAUUCAAGUUGCAGAGAAAACUCUUAUGUGAACAGCAUGGUGGCUAGGCCCAGACUGGCAGCAGUCACUUUCAUCAGGGCUUUGAAAUAAUGCAUCAUGUGACCACACAGCUCCACAGGCUAGUCCUCCUUAUAAAGCUUCAAUGUGACUGGGGCUAUACAAUUCCUACUUACCAUAAUAUAAUUUGUGGUCCAGGAAACAAGAAACCGGAGGUAUAUAUUAAUGAUAUACAAUACAAUUUUAAUACAAGGAGGAAAAUAGUACAUAUGUGAACAUGAAGUAAAUGACCAUCUAAUACCAGCUCUAUUUCUGGAUGGCUCUCUGUAUCACAAGAUUCGAAUUGAAAUUCAUGUCAAAACAUGUGUGUGUCUCAUAAAAAUUUAAUAAUACUUAUUUUAUUAGGAGAGUCCAGGAUAUCCUCAGGAGACAUUAGAUUCAAUCUGGAGUUUAGGGUUCCAAAAUGAAACAGGACACAGCUAUGUGUUAUGGGACUGCUACUAAUAGGAAUAGAACUAACAGCCCAUGUUAUCUUCCCCCAGAAGUGAUUGGGCUGGAUUAGAACUGUCCCAGUUUGAUCAUGUAGGAUUCAAAUAGCUUUUAAAUUAUCUUUAUUCUAAGGCAAUGCAACCAAAAGUCAAGGACAUUUGGUUUCACACUGGGUUUUGCCAUGAGCUAGCUUUAAAACCUUAUAAAUUAAUUUCUUCAUUUAUUCAAUAGUUUAUUGACUGCCAACUCUGUGUCAGACACUGUUCAUUACUGGAGAUAGAGUCAAACAAAUGCUACAAGAUCCCUGCCCUCAUGAACCUUAUGAUCAAACAGGGAUGACAACUAUUAAAUAUUAUCACAUAAUAUACAAUAAAUACUAUAAGCAAAAAUUACAGUCAGUUUGGGAUUCUAACAAGGGGCCUGUUGAGUUAGGGAAGGCCUUUCUGAGAUAGUGACAUUUAAACCAACAGUUCUAAAUUUUGCACAUUAGAAUCACCUGGGGAGCUGUAAGAACUAUGAGUGUCUGGCUCUACUCCAGAUAAAAAGAACUGAAGCUAAAAAUGAGGUCUGGGUAGUAGCAUGUAUUAAAAUUUCUCCUGAGUGGUUAUGAUUUAUGGCCAGCAUUGAGGGCCACUGAUUUCAGCAGAUACUGGAAAGCAGGAAGAAGCUGAGUAAAAAGAAAAAAAAAAAAUGUUUUCAAGACAGAAAAGCCCACCUUUGGCAAAGCACAGGAAACAGCCUGCCACAUUUAGGAAUUAGAAGGCAGGCAGUGAGAAAUGGACGAGGCAGGGACUCUGGAGCUGGGUCCCUAUGUGAGCAAUUUGAAAGAUUUGGAGUUUUGUCAUAAGUACAAUGGAAACCUACUAAACAUUUAGCAGGGAAUUGACGUGACCAG